AAGGAAGGUUCAGAGAACAAAUUGCCGUUUAAAACUAUUAGGCCAGACCUGCCUGUUCCAAAGCUAAAAAUGGUCCUUAGUGUACCAGGAUUUGUGAAGGCCUGCGGUUCGCAGAAUGAAAUCUGUGGAGCCCCAACCACUGAUAGAAGCCACUAGGUUGACCUGAAGUAAUCUGUGGUGUUUUCUGUGCUUCUGAAGGUGCAGAUUUCAACGUCUG